CCUACGGGUGGCAGCAGUGAGGAAUAUUGGUCAAUGGGCGCAAGCCUGAACCAGCCAAGUAGCGUGAAGGAUGACUGCCCUACGGGUUGUAAACUGCUUUUGUAAAGGGAUAAAGUGAGGCACGUGUGCCUGUUUGUAUGUACUUUAUGAAUAAGGAUCGGCUAACUCCGUGCCAGCAGCCGCGGUAAUACGGAGGAUCCGAGCGUUAUCCGGAUUUAUUGGGUUUAAAGGGAGCGUAGGUGGGUGGUUAAGUCAGUUGUGAAAGUUUGCGGCUCAACCGCAAAAUUGCAUCUGAUACUGGCAGCCUUGAGAACAGUUGAGGUAGGCGGAAUUCGUGGUGUAGCGGUGAAAUGCUUAGAUAUCAUGAAGAACUCCGAUUGCGAAGGCAGCUUACUAAACUGCUACUGACAUUGAUGCUCGAAAGUGUGGGUAUCAAACAGGAUUAGAUACCCGGGUAGUC
rnacentral:rRNA from 1 species